rnacentral:rRNA from 1 species
GACGUAGGGCGCGAGCGUUAUUCGGAAUUAUUGGGCGUAAAGGGCGCGUAGGCGGCUUUGCAAGUGACGGGUGAAAUCCCUCGGCUUAACCGAGGAACUGCCUGUCAGACUGUGAGGCUUGAGACCGGGAGAGGUGAGUGGAAUUCCCAGUGUAGCGGUGAAAUGCGUAGAUAUUGGGAGGAACACCAGUGGCGAAGGCGGCUCACUGGACCGGAACUGACGCUGAGGCGCGAAAGCGUGGGGAGCAAACAGG